rnacentral:rRNA from 1 species
UACGGAGAGUGCAAGCAUUAAUCGGAUUUACUGGGCGUAAAGGGUGUCUAGGCGGUCGAGUGAGUGAGAUGUGAAAUGCCCCGGCUCACCCGGGGACCUGCAUUUCAUACUGCUCGGCUAGAGUACUGGAGAGGGUCGUGGAAUUCCCGGUGUAGCGGUGAAAUGCGUAGAGAUCGGGAGGAACACCAGAGGCGAAGGCGGCGACCUGGACAGUAACUGACACUGAACUACGAAAGCGUGGGGAGCAAACAGG